CAGCCGCCACGGUAAUACGUAGGUGGCAAGCGUUGUCCGGAAUUAUUGGGCGUAAAGGGCUCGCAGGCGGUUUCUUAAGUCUGAUGUGAAAGCCCCCGGCUCAACCGGGGAGGGUCAUUGGAAACUGGGAAACUUGAGUGCAGAAGAGGAGAGUGGAAUUCCACGUGUAGCGGUGAAAUGCGUAGAGAUGUGGAGGAACACCAGUGGCGAAGGCGACUCUCUGGUCUGUAACUGACGCUGAGGAGCGAAAGCGUGGGGAACGAAUAGGAUUAGAUACCCGCGUAGUCCCUGUCUCUUAUAC
rnacentral:rRNA from 1 species